AUUGAACGCUGGCGGCAUGCCUUACACAUGCAAGUCGAACGGCAGCACGGGAGCAAUCCUGGUGGCGAGUGGCGAACGGGUGAGUAAUAUAUCGGAACGUGCCCAGUCGUGGGGAUAACGUAGCGAAAGCUACGCUAAUACCGCAUACGAUCUACGGAUGAAAGCGGGGGAUCGCAAGACCUCGCGCGAUUGGAGCGGCCGAUAUCAGAUUAGGUAGUUGGUGAGGUAAAGGCUCACCAAGCCGACGAUCUGUAGCUGGUCUGAGAGGACGACCAGCCACACUGGGACUGAGACACGGCCCAGACUCCUACGGGAGGCAGCAGUGAGGAAUAUUGGACAAUGGGCGCAAGCCUGAUCCAGCCAUGCCGCGUGCAGGAUAAGGUCCUAUGGAUUGUAAACUGCUUUUAUACAGGAAGAAACACACCCUCGUGAGGGUACUUGACGGUACUGUAUG
rnacentral:rRNA from 1 species